AUGGUUACUGGGUCUCAUGUGCGUACCUCUCU
rnacentral:scRNA from 1 species